CCCCAAACAACCCAGCAACCCUAUACAUGGGGGGUAUCACUGUACUCGGGAGAUGUUGCUGAACAUAUUGGGGUGUUGUUUGGCAGUGACACAUAACAGGAUCUGUUAAUUCAUGCCUAAAGUACGUGUGUGAAAAAAACUGAAAAAAAAUUACUACCUCGAUGUUUGACAAAGCCUGGUGGUAGAAUUAGUGCAUGGAAAGUGUUAAAAUACCACCAUGUAAAAUACCCUAGGGUGUCUACUUUUCAAAAAUAUAUGGUUUGAUGGGGGUAAAAUACAUUGGCCGGCUUCAAAAAUGUAAAUGCAAUGUCACUACUGAUACAGUUGAAAAAUUUACAUUUUGAAACCGCAAUUUCCUACUUGUACUUAUAGCCCUCUAACUUGCAAAUAAAAGCAAAAAAAACAAACAUUGGGUGUUUUUUAACUCAGGACAACAUUUUGAAUCUAUUUAGCAGUUUGUUUCAUUCGAUUUUGUAG